rnacentral:rRNA from 1 species
UGGGGAAUUUUGGACAAUGGGCGCAAGCCUGAUCCAGCAAUGCCGCGUGCAGGAAGAAGGCCUUCGGGUUGUAAACUGCUUUUGUACGGAACGAAACGGCUCUGGUUAAUACCCGGGGAUAAUGACGGUACCGUAAGAAUAAGCACCGGCUAACUACGUGCCAGCAGCCGCGGUAAUACGUAGGGUGCAAGCGUUAAUCGGAAUUACUGGGCGUAAAGCGUGCGCAGGCGGUUUUGUAAGACAGGCGUGAAAUCCCCGGGCUCAACCUGGGAAUGGCGCUUGUGACUGCAAAGCUGGAGUGCGGCAGAGGGGGAUGGAAUUCCGCGUGUAGCAGUGAAAUGCGUAGAUAUGCGGAGGAACACCGAUGGCGAAGGCAAUCCCCUGGGCCUGCACUGACGCUCAUGCACGAAAGCGUGGGGAGCAAACAG